UCUUGCUAAAAUAUGUUUGGUAAACAUCUUUGUAUAUAUUUCAUAACUGCCUUGUGAUGAGUGGUGUGUGGCGCCCCCUACUGGUUGCCGAUAAAUAAGAGGGGAAACCGGAAAUUCCACACAGACGGUUUUGCGCUCUUAUGUGGCAAGUCAUCAAAUCUGGUUCUCCUCUGACUUGUUUUUGUGGUUUUGUUCGGGGACUAAAUUGGAGUGUUGUUGCGAUACACAGAGGACAGGUGGACCAGUAAGGGAGGCUAACAGGAUGUUUUUAUCAACCACUCAUUACAGCAAAUUGAGGCGUCCUCCAUUGAUGGAUGAGCGGACAAAAUGCAAGCCAUGGUCCUCGAUACGGAAGUUCAGAUCACCAAACCAGAACACCACCCUGGUCAUCAACUCGGACAGGCGCUGGCGGAGGAUCGUCUUCGACCUGGAGCCCUGAGACGCAGAGCUGCUUGUGCUGUCCGAGCGCA